rnacentral:rRNA from 1 species
ACCAUGCAGUCGAACGGUGAAGCAGAGCUUGCUCUGUGGAUCAGUGGCGAACGGGUGAGUAACACGUGAGCAACCUGCCCCGGACUCUGGGAUAAGCGCUGGAAACGGCGUCUAAUACUGGAUACGAGAAGAGACGGCAUCGUCAUCUUCUGGAAAGAUUUUUCGGUCUGGGAUGGGCUCGCGGCCUAUCAGCUUGUUGGUGAGGUAAUGGCUCACCAAGGCGUCGACGGGUAGCCGGCCUGAGAGGGUGACCGGCCACACUGGGACUGAGACACGGCCCAGACUCCUACGGGAGGCAGCAGUGGGGAAUAUUGCACAAUGGGCGGAAGCCUGAUGCAGCAACGCCGCGUGAGGGAUGACGGCCUUCGGGUUGUAAACCUCUUUUAGCAGGGAAGAAGCGAAAGUGACGGUACCUGCAGAAAAAGCGCCGGCUAACUACGUGCCAGCAGCCGCGGUAAUACGUAGGGCGCAAGCGUUAUCCGGAAUUAUUGGGCGUAAAGAGCUCGUAGGCGGUUUGUCGCGUCUGCUGUGAAAUCCCGAGGCUCAACCUCGGGCCUGCAGUGGGUACGGGCAGACUAGAGUGCGGUAGGGGAGAUUGGAAUUCCUGGUGUAGCGGUGGAAUGCGCAGAUAUCAGGAGGAACACCGAUGGCGAAGGCAGAUCUCUGGGCCGUAACUGACGCUGA